CGAUGAUCCCCAGCUUGCUGGGGGGAUUAGUGGCGAACGGGUGAGUAACACGUGAGUAACCUGCCCUUGACUCUGGGAUAAGCCUGGGAAACUGGGUCUAAUACCGGAUAUGACUCCUCAUCGCAUGGUGGGGGGUGGAAAGCUUUUGUGGUUUUGGAUGGACUCGCGGCCUAUCAGCUUGUUGGUGAGGUAAUGGCUCACCAAGGCGACGACGGGUAGCCGGCCUGAGAGGGUGACCGGCCACACUGGGACUGAGACACGGCCCAGACUCCUACGGGAGGCAGCAGUGGGGAAUAUUGCACAAUGGGCGCAAGCCUGAUGCAGCGACGCCGCGUGAGGGAUGACGGCCUUCGGGUUGUAAACCUCUUUCAGUAGGGAAGAAGCGAAAGUGACGGUACCUGCAGAAGAAGCGCCGGCUAACUACGUGCCAGCAGCCGCGGUAAUACGUAGGGCGCAAGCGUUAUCCGGAAUUAUUGGGCGUAAAGAGCUCGUAGGCGGUUUGUCGCGUCUGCUGUGAAAGACCGGGGCUCAACUCCGGUUCUGCAGUGGGUACGGGCAGACUAGAGUGAUGUAGGGGAGACUGGAAUUCCUGGUGUAGCGGUGAAAUGCGCAGAUAUCAGGAGGAACACCGAUGGCGAAGGCAGGUCUCUGGGCAUUAACUGACGCUGAGGAGCGAAAGCAUGGGGAGCGAACAGGAUUAGAUACCCUGGUAGUCCAUGCCGUAAACGUUGGGCACUAGGUGUGGGGGACAUUCCACGUUUUCCGCGCCGUAGCUAACGCAUUAAGUGCCCCGCCUGGGGAGUAC
rnacentral:rRNA from 1 species